AUUGAACGCUGGCGGCAUGCCUUACACAUGCAAGUCGAACGGCAACAGGCUGCAAGGUUCCGACUAGGGGCGGACGGGUGAGUAAUGCAGCGGAAUGCGCCCAGACGUGGGGGAUAACUACUCGUAAGAGUAGCUAAUACCGCAUACUACCUAUGGAGGAAAGCGGGGGACCGCAAGGCCUCGUGCGACUUGACCGGCCGAUGUCAGAUUAGGUAGUUGGUGGGGUAAAGGCUCACCAAGGCAACGAUCUGUAGCUGGUCUGAGAGGAUGAGCAGCCACACUGGAACUGAGACACGGCCCAGACUCCUACGGGAGGCAGCAGUGGGGAAUAUUGGACAAUGGGCGCAAGCCUGAUCCAGCAAUACCGCGUGGGGGAAGAAGGCCUUCGGGUUGUAAACUGCUUUUGUUCGGAAAGAAACGGAUCUGGUUAAUACCCGGCGGUUAUGACGGUACCGAAAGAAUAAGCACCGGCUAACUACGUG
rnacentral:rRNA from 1 species